GGCCUGAUAGUUCAGUGGUAGAAUUCUUGCUUUGGGUUGUCCAAUCUAAAUUGUAAGAGGUCUCCGGUUCAAUCCCGGAUUAGGCCC